GUCUUCUGGCUCCUUCUAGGAGCUGUCCAAGAUCACGAUGCCAAUUGCCUUCAAUGAGCCCCUGAGCUUCCUGCAGCGGAUCACUGAGUACAUGGAGCAUGUGUACCUCAUUCACAAAGCCGCGAGUGAAACCCAGGCCCUGGAGAGGAUGCAGUCUGUAGCUGCCUUUGCAGUCUCGGCUGUGGCUUCCCAGUGGGAGAGAACUGG